UGAAUAAAGUGAGGUUAUGGUCACUUAGAAGGCCUCACUUAUAAGUGACCUCAUAAUUGACUUCAGCACAGCUGAGAACCAUGGCCUCACAAUGUGAGGAGGCAGGUGGGAAAGGAACCGAGGAAGAUGACUAGAGAGCUGACGGUUACAGGAGGACGAGGUUUGGGUUAGGCUUUGAGGGAAAGUUUGAUUUCACCAGCCGGGAAGCUGGAGCGUGGGAGGAGACCCCUGGACCACACCCACAAGAAUCACCUUCACAGCAGGAUGGGCCAGCUGAUGGUCUGCCACUGUUUGGAGGAGGCCUGGAUGCAGGAAAAGGAAUGCAUGGGCAUUUAUGUGAAGCGCUUCCAUUUUGGUGGUCUCCGAGAUUUACAAGAUGUGAGAUAAAAAGCAAAGAAAGCAAUUCCUCUGACUCCUUCGGCUGAAGCCACACAUUCUCCUGGGAUCAUGAGAAUCAGAGCUGUGAUGACGAUGGAGGUACCUGGAAGAGAGCAGGCACACUGGAGGCAUGCUGUACU
rnacentral:lncRNA from 13 species